GACGAACGCUGGCGGCGUGCUUAACACAUGCAAGUCGAACGAUGAAAGUGGAGGUUGCUCCGCCGGAUUAGUGGCGAACGGGUGAGUAACAAGUGGGCAACCUGCCCCAGACGCUGGGAUAACUCCUCGAAAGAGGUGCUAAUACCGGAUACGAACUCCUUGGGCAUCCUUGGAGUUGGAAAGGUGUUCGGUCUGGGAUGGGCCCGCGGCCGAUCAGCUUGUUGGUGUGGUAGUGGCCCACCAAGGCGACGACGGGUAGCCGGCCUGAGAGGGCGACCGGCCACACUGGGACUGAGACACGGCCCAGACUCCUACGGGAGGCAGCAGUGGGGAAUAUUGCGCAAUGGGCGAAAGCCUGACGCAGCGACGCCGCGUGAGGGAUGACGGCCUUCGGGUUGUAAACCUCUUUCAGCAGGGAAGAAGCGAAAGUGACGGUACCUGCAGAAGAAGCACCGGCUAACUACGUGCCAGCCGCCGCAGUAA
rnacentral:rRNA from 1 species